rnacentral:rRNA from 1 species
CCUACGGGGGGCAGCAGUGGGGAAUAUUGGACAAUGGUGGGAACCCUGAUCCAGCCAUGCCGCGUGUGUGAAGAAGGCCCUCGGGUUGUAAAGCACUUUCAGUGAGGAAGAACGCCUGGUGGUUAAUACCCAUCAGGAAAGACAUCACUCACAGAAGAAGCACCGGCUAACUCCGUGCCAGCAGCCGCGGUAAUACGGAGGGUGCGAGCGUUAAUCGGAAUUACUGGGCGUAAAGCGCGCGUAGGUGGCGUGAUAAGCCGGUUGUGAAAGCCCCGGGCUCAACCUGGGAACGGCAUCCGGAACUGUCAAGCUAGAGUGCAGGAGAGGAAGGUAGAAUUCCCGGUGUAGCGGUGAAAUGCGUAGAGAUCGGGAGGAAUACCAGUGGCGAAGGCGGCCUUCUGGACUGACACUGACACUGAGGUGCGAAAGCGUGGGUAGCAAACAGGAUUAGAUACCCUAGUAGUC